rnacentral:rRNA from 1 species
UACAGAGGUCCCAAGCGUUGUUCGGAUUCAUUGGGCGUAAAGGGAGCGUAGGUGGUCGGGUAAGUCAGAUGUCAAAUUUCGACGCUCAACGUCGAAUCGCAUUUGAUACUGCCUGGCUAGAGGAAUUGAGAGGAGGCCGGAAUUCACGGUGUAGCAGUGAAAUGCGUAGAUAUCGUGAGGAAGACCAACGGCGAAAGCAGGCCUCUGGAAAUUUCCUGACACUGAGGCUCGAAGGCCAGGGGAGCAAACGGG